CACACAGAGGAACAGAAACAAAAACUGGAGAACAAAGAAGAAAAGAGUGCCCGCUUGAAGCAGAAAAUACAAGCUGAGAACCAGGAGAAGGCAGAACGCGUCCGGAUAGCUCUUCUGCAAAGACAACAAGAUGCCGAACAGCGCCGCAAGGCCGAAGAACUAAAAAAGCAACAGGAAUGGGAGGAAGAACAACUUCGUUUGCAAGCCGUUAAGAAGGAACAGGAGGAACAAGAAAAGCAAGCCAAGUUGAGGCAAGCUGAGGUUGAAAAAGCCAA